CCGCCGCCGCACGCUCAGCCCGGCCCGCGCCCGUGGUUUCCACCCUCCACGCGGCGGCCGAAGGGGGCCCGGGUCGGAGUCGGCCACCUGUGGGCUGUGCCGUGUCGCCGCCAGCAAGGAGUGCAUACAAUCUAAGAUGUUGCCAGACCACUGCUAUAUUAACUUCUAACUGCAGCAUCUUACAACAUUUCUAAGUCAGACAGGAGACAGUGUUCCAAAUGCAUUUGAGGCAUUUUCUUUGGGAAAACAGAUGAGAGGAAUUGACGAAAGAACUUGAAUCUGGUUAAGCAAGCACAACAAAUUAUGAGACUACAGUAAGGUGCAGCAAUCCGGCUUUGGUUCCAUCUCAAACUCAUCAAAACAGAAAGCUACAAUCGAGGCUGGCUUCAUGGGCGUGUGAGCUGCAAAGUUGCACAGGCCCCAAGCUUAGAAGAGCCCUGUGCUUGGUUAAAUGCUCCACUAUCACUUUCUAAAAAUUCUUACUAAUUUUUGAGUGAGGGGCUCCACCUUCUCAUUUGGCACUGGACCCCUCAUAUUAGUUCUGCCUGCAACCACCUACACUCUUGAUCCUUAGCAGUUUAGCAUGCUCCUUGGGAGUCUGACCUGGCAAGGAUUCCAGAGCUACUGAAUCAGAAUCUGCAUUUUAAAAUGUCCCCUGGCGAUUUGAAUGCACGUUCAAGUUUGAGAAGUGUUGAUCGAGGACACCUCCUCCCGCAUAGCUCUGGGGGUGGACGUUAUAACCUCACCCUUGACGCCUUUGCUGGGCAUGUGACUUGACCUGGCCAAUGAGGGCAUCGUAUCCCCUGGCAGCAAUGAUUAUUUAGCUCAGGCAUGAGCACGUGACUCAGGUUGUGCCUAGCAACCUAAAUACUGGAGUUCAUAUAGGGAACUACCCAGCUGAAACCACCUCUUUUACCCUAGGAUUGUUACAGUAAAGGUGACCUGAGUCUGCCAUUGUUGUGGCCUCUAUAAGCCCGAGAAUGAUACCAGCAUUGUAGAAGAACAAGCCAAGACAUGGUGAGAAAAGUCUCGAUGCUGAAGGCAUUAAGGACGUAACACCCCAAAUGCCCUGGUGUAUCGAUUAUUCCAAGCUGAAAGCACUUGAGAAGCAGCAAUUGCAGGAAGAACUAUCUGAAGGGCCCUGUCUGACCUACUGCAAGCCAUAAAAAUUCUGUGAGAAAGCUGCCUUCCCCGUGCCAGCCUGAGAAGAUGACCCUUAUUAUCGGUGACUGAGAAUUGAUACUGCAAUUGAUCUGUACAAAUAAAUUUACUAAAAUAACCCUUAUCUUCCACUAGCUCUAUAUCUCUUCUUAUAUAUCUUAGUGACUCCCCUGGAACUUACUGCCCUAGCCAAGACCCCUCUGUCUUGCCAUUUCUUCACAAACUUCAUCAUUCUUCAUCUAAAAAGUUUAAAUGCUCUCUGCUCUGGCA